rnacentral:rRNA from 1 species
GCUAAUACCGGAUAACAAACAGAUGAUGCCUAUCAACUGUUUAAAAGAUGGUUCUGCUAUCACUCUUGGAUGGACCUGCGGUGCAUUAGCUAGUUGGUAGGGUAACGGCCUACCAAGGCGAUGAUGCAUAGCCGAGUUGAGAGACUGAUCGGCCACAUUGGGACUGAGACACGGCCCAAACUCCUCGGGAGGCAGCAGAC